rnacentral:misc_RNA from 1 species
GCCAAAAGCACCGGAAAUAGCAGAUCCUUCUCAUCUUCUCCGGCAAUAGAUCAGUCUUCCGAUAAAUUUCUGCUGCUCUCAUUCCAUCCAUUGCUUCUCAGAUAUUUGAGCAUUGCGAGAAACCAUGUCCGCUAUUGAUGAGCCGUUAUAUCCUAUUGCGGUUUUGAUUGAUGAGUUGAAGAAUGAAGACAUCCAGCUUAGAUUGAAUUCAAUCCGGCGAUUGUCUACCAUCGCCCGUGCUCUUGGUGAGGAGAGAACACGGAAAGAGUUGAUUCCAUUUCUAAGUGAGAACAACGAUGAUGAUGACGAAGUUCUUCUUGCAAUGGCUGAAGAGUUGGGCAUGUUUAUUCCAUAUGUUGGAGGGGUUGAACAUGCGCGUGUAUUGCUUCCACCCUUAGAAGGACUUUGUAGUGUUGAGGAGACUUGUGUUAGGGAAAAGGCAGUUGAGUCAUUAUGCAAAAUUGGGUCCCAAAUGAAGGAAUCGGAUUUGGUGGAAUCAUUUAUUCCACUUGUGAAGAGACUGGCUACUGGAGAGUGGUUCACUGCUCGAGUUUCCUCCUGUGGAUUGUUUCACAUUGCUUAUCCUAGUGCUCCAGAGCCACUAAAGAAUGAACUGAGAACCAUAUAUAGCCAACUUUGUCAAGAUGAUAUGCCUAUGGUGAGGAGAGCAGCUGCCACAAAUCUUGGAAAGUUUGCUGCAACUAUUGAACAACCCCAUCUGAAGACCGACAUCAUGUCAAUGUUUGAGACCCUGACACAGGAUGAUCAAGAUUCUGUCCGUUUAUUGGCUGUCGAGGAUUGUGCUGCUUUGGGGAAGCUGCUGGAGCCUAAAGACUGUGUAGCACAAAUUCUUUCCGUCAUAGUUAAUUUUGCGCAGGAUAAGUCUUGGCGUGUUCGU